rfam:Puccinia graminis f. sp. tritici CRL 75-36-700-3 supercont2.14 genomic scaffold, whole genome shotgun sequence.
GCAUCUGUAGCCUAGUUGGUAAAGGAAGCACUCUUGUAUGUGACUCAGCAUUGCUGAGGUUGUGAGUUCAAAUCUCACCAGGCACA